CGGACAGGAGGGUCGACAGAAGCAAAGGAUCCGUGCUAGCCUACGAGCUGAGAAAUUCCAGUAAACCCCGAGCAACAAAGAAGAAGACUUCAGCUAAGAAGGAAGGGAGGGGCCGGCAGAGCACAUUGGAGGAGUCAUUCACUGGCGCCCUGCAUUCUACAAGAAAACGAUAAGGCUCGCGUUAUGGGACACUGCCACGAUUCCUAUCGCUCGGUACGUGAUGCUGUGAGCAACUGUUAAACUUGUUGAAGACCGUCAAGUUUGGAAGUAGGAGGUGUCGUACGUCGUACUGACAUGCUUGGGGAGGAACGUGUGAAUAGGAACAAGAGAAAUUAAAGCUGAUUUUAUAAGAUUACUCAAUUAAGUGGCAAAUAUCUCAAAAUUGAGUGAUAUUUUUAAGAGAAAACUGAUGGAAUAAUAUGUGUGACUGUUUGGAAAGUAAGUUGGUAACUUUCUUGAUAUAUUGCCGUGAAGUUUCAAGAAAUCGCCCUCAUUUAUAAUCUUUUAGCUCACGAAUGUAUAAGCAAUGGUAUGUGGCCCUAUGUUAUGAAAAGGUUGGGAACCCCUGGUCUAAAGUGAUCCUGCUCGCCUGAAUAUGGUUUCAGUUCAGUGGAGAGACUGAAUCUGUUACUGGGAAUGUCAGAACAAACAGUUGUAUGUUUAUUGAAUGAUUACCAUUUUUUUUACCUUGAUGGGACACAUUUGUAACUUUGCAGGUUUGAAAGAUAGAAAGUUAUUACUUUAAUAAUUGUUUAGUGUUGGCUCUUAAAUACUUUUUUCUGGAAUUGAGUGUUCGAUUUGUGUCUACUCAAAAGGGAAUAUUUAAUGAAUUUUCAAAUUUUUUUGAGGUAUUUGAUUGCUUUGUCUUGUCUCAAAUGUGUAUGACGUUAUUAUACGUCAAAACAAACUAAUUAUAAAUGCCAAUAGCAGUAAGAGAAUUCUGUUGUCUUCUUCGUAGUGAUCGACUCCUGCAGUUUAACGUUUUAUUACGUACAUAGAACAACUUCAGAUGCCACAGCACUACAGACAAAAAAAUGUCUAAUAAUGUAUGUCUUCUGUGAAUAGUCGUGAUCUUCUAUGAUCCAUUGAUGAACAGUUCUCAGUAGACUAGAAGUUUAAAAUAAGACAAUUUAAGUUCUGUUGUCACAAAUGUCUAGUCAGUUAUGUUUAACCCUGCUAAUACUGGAAUUAUUUACAUUCAUUAAAGAUCAAAGGUGGUUGAUUUGUA